AUCUAAAACUGGGUUGCUAGGUAACGGGCUGGGGUUGCUAGGUAACGGUGCAAUGCCCGAUUAUGAAGUAAAUGGUAGUAGAACUUUUUCAUCAAUGUUGAAUUUACUCUAAUCAAGCUGCUAUAUCUUUCUGAAAAGUUACUUAUCAGUUAGUUUCGUCUUAUUUUAAGUUUAGUAAAAUAUUUGCACUGGAAACUAAACCAAAAAUACUUGGCAUGGUUUUGUGUUUUUGCCAUGUUUGAGCCAUUUAACCCUUAAAAGCACUCUUGUUGGCACUGGUAGUUGUUAAUUUCUGCGUAUUGCCUUCACUUGCACCUACAGAAUAAACUGUUCUGGAUGUUUUGCUGAUUUACUGUAAGAGCAGUGUUUUCUAAAAAUGCAUGUUUUUCUGAGAAUGACCGUUGAACUGGCUGUUCCUCUAAAAGUGCCAUCCGUGAUGUGGAGACCGAGAUCCGAGUCUCACUACUUUCUUGUGCUUUGUAAAGUGCAGCAUUUGUACAGUGAGGUUGUAUUUUUGUACACAGUAUGAUUUAUUUUUCCGCUUCCUGCUUCACUCUGGCUCUCGCUCUGUUGUUGUUGCCCACAAACAACUUACGUCUGCUAGCACUGACCGAGAAAAGCGAUAGAAACAAUUAAAGGCUUUAGCUGUUUGAUACA